ACUGAUCCUAUACUACAGCAGAGAGAGUGCGAGGGAGGAGGGACAUCAGGUGUCACUGCUCUGCAACCCCAGUUGAGGCUGCAUUACCACGACAACCAGCUCCAGGGGUGCUGCCAGCUCUCUGCCUUAGCCAGCCCUGCACCCAGCCGGACGCCCAGCCAGCUAUCUACCCAUCCAUCCAUCCAGCCAUCCAGCCAGGCCGGCCCUACCCUGCCCAGAACUGGCAACCUGCAGGAGUCAUCAGGGCUGCGUGAAAAAAAGACAAAGAGGACACUUGUGAGGACUGUAAACUCAUCUAAUACAGAUUUAGAUAGAUUCCGAUUUCCCGAAUUGUCACAGAUGUUGCGAAGAUUAGGAGAGUGCGGAAGAGAGAGAGAGAGAGCUGACUCUACCACCCCGAGGAGGACGCAAUGAGAUGGAACCACUUCUCUGCUUUCCAGUGGAAAAACCUCUUCCUCCGUCAGAGUGACAUCUGCUGGCUCGGUGGGGCGGGGCAGCUGGUGUUGUGAAUCAGGCCGCUGCAAUCCAGGGACCGGCUACUUCCCAACACCAGGGUCUCACCCUCACCCCUCACGUCCUCACAGGCUUUCACCUCCAGUUUGAAGGAUUCAGUCAGCAUAUAUUUUAAAUCUGUGCUUUAUACUUUCUUAUGCCUGAUGUAACUACCAAUGUAAUUAUUUACUUGUAAUAUUAGGACUUUGUCCAAAUCUGUAUGAAAUAUAUUUCAUUUGCAUCAUAUCCUCUUAAAUUAUGAAUCAGAAAAAAAGUACCACAAACAAAACUAUAUCACACCCCAUAAAACACAUACAACAAGGAUGCUGACAUUUAUGAUUAGAAUAGUAUUUUCCCCAAAUAAAUCAAUAUAUAUUUCAAAAA